GACGUAGGGCGCGAGCGUUGUCCGGAUUUAUUGGGCGUAAAGAGCUCGUAGGCGGCUUGUCGCGUCGGCUGUGAAAUCCCGUGGCUCAACUGCGGGUCUGCAGCCGAUACGGGCAGGCUAGAGUUCGGUAGGGGAGACUGGAAUUCCUGGUGUAGCGGUGAAAUGCGCAGAUAUCAGGAGGAACACCGAUGGCGAAGGCAGGUCUCUGGGCCGAUACUGACGCUGAGGCGCGAAAGCCAGGGGAGCAAACGGG
rnacentral:rRNA from 1 species